GAGAUACAAGGUUUACUUCAUAAAAUUUCAAUUCAUGUAACAAUUUUAUAUUUGUGUGGCCUCAAAUAUAUAAAGCAAAAUUCACAGAACUAUAUCUAAGUAGGGAUAACUCAACAAUUGUCUCAUUAAUAGAACAAGCAAAUAAAACUUCUUAAUUAAGAGCAGAGAAGAUCUGAACAACGUAUUACAAACAAUGUAAUGGCUUUAUGUAGACGACUGCAUGCAGCAUCUGCAGAACAUGCACUUUUUUCAAGUGCCCACAAACCUUCACUAAGGUUAAACAUGUGCUGGGCCAUAAAGCAAAUCUCAACACAUUUCAAAGGAGAGCAGUCAGAUGGAGCAUGUUUUGUAACCACAAUAACAAAAAUAUAACUAGGAAAUUCCCAUGUUUGGAAGUUAAAAAAUACUCUUCUAAAUAACCCAUGGAAUCUGUUGUGAUUUCCCAAUUUUCAUUCCUGACUUUUUUUGUGCUUUUCUUUUUCAAUCACAUCAGAGGUUUACCAAUUUUCAGUCUUUUCAAAGUCCCAACCUUGACUUUGUUGGUCUUCUUUAUUGUGUUGUUUGCUGUUUCAUCAACGUUUGCCCUCAUUCUUAUCUCUUUCAACUUUUAAGAAGAUAGUCAAUUUAACAAUAUUUGUACAAAAUUUUUAUAAAAUACAGAGCAUUUUUAUUAAGCCUUAAAAUAAUCUUGUAAACAGGACCUUUCCCUCAUUUUACAGAUGAGAAAAUGAUAGAACAGGAAAUAAACUCGUAUUAUUGCAUUGAAUGGAAUAUGGCCCUAUGGUUUGCACCCAAGACCAGAGGAACUUCGCCUGCUCCUCUCUGGGGCUUUGCCCUGCCCACCUCAGGACCACUACUUAUCCUCUGAGAUCUUAAGCGACACUAACCAGAAAUAGCCAUGGUUAAGACAGUGGAAGUCUGGCUCUCACCAACCCUUCCUACAGUAAUCUCCAGCACAUCUGAGUAUUGCUGGGAAAACACAGGGGAAACAAAAUAUACCAUGUGAGUGAGCAAGCUGCCCAGGCCAGAGAAGCAAGCAUGAGGCAGCCCUCGACCCCCAACACGUGUGGUUACUGGCCUCAGUCGGAGGCUCCUCUGCUGAGCCCUUUUGCAGCCCGACAAAGACAAAACAUGUUUAGAGACAAUGGAUUGCUUACUUAGAAGCAAGAUACCUCUCAGGAACAUCCAAAACAUCACUUUUCUCAUGUUUCUUCUGAAGUUGUGUCUGAGUAGGGGGUGGUCCUUGAGGGAUUUCCUUGACUUCCAGGUAAGAGUUGUCCUCCAUUACCCAAGCAUCUAGAUGCUGAGUCCCUGGACAGGGCCACUACACUUACUCAUCAGACUUACUCCAUACAUUCUUAUGCAAAUACUUCUCAUUCUAGGCAGCCUUCUAAGGACCUGAACACUACUAAUGCUUCCAACCCUCAUUACAAUCUAUGAGGUUGCUACUAUUAUCAUCUUUACAAAAGACAGGUGAGGGCCUGGCAUGGUAGCCUGUGGCUGCUCAGGCCUGUAAUCUCAGCACCUUGGGAGUCUGAGGCUGGACAGAUUACUUGAGGGCAGGAGUUCGAGACCAGCCCAGCCAACAAUGAUGAAACCCUGUCUCUACCAAAAAUACCAAAGUUAGCCUGGCAUGGUGGUGCAUGCCUAUAAUCCCAGCUACUCUGGAGGCUGAGGCAUGAGAAUUGCUUGAGCUCAGGAGGUGGAGGUUGUAGUGAACUGAGAUCAUGCUGCUGCACUCCAGCCUGGGCGACAGAGCAAGACUGUCUUUUUUUUUUUAAAAAAAAAAAAAAAAAGACAGGUGAGGACAUUCUAGUUUAGUUUCUUGCCUAAAUUCAUCUGGAAAAAAGUGAGAGUCCUUAUUUGAACUCAGGUUUACUGGUAGAGAGACCAUGUCCUCAGUCACUAUACUUCACUGCCUCUACACAAGUUUCCUGCAGUUUCCUUAGCACAAUGACACUAUCCAUAGCCUCAGAAAAACUGCCAGGUCUAAAUGAGAACGGCUCCUCAGUAGGAAGAAAAUUGAAGUACUAUAUUCUGCUUCCUUCUCCAUCUCUCUAGGUCAAGGCCCUUAGCUGAAGCUGGAGAAGAGGAAUGAAGGGUCUUCCCAGCCCAGGGACUCCCUGGGUACAGCUGUGGCAAAUUCCUCAAGGUCUUGAUGCAGACAGACGUCAGGUCCCCAAUGUCUGUCUUCAGCUA
ensembl:lncRNA